GAAGCACAAAAGAAGCCAACACCAAUCAAGGCCUCCAUCCAAUCCCAAGCAACCUCGAAGAUGUCUUGCUGCGGAGGAAGCUGCGGCUGCGGCAGCGCCUGCAAGUGCGGCAACGGCUGCGGCGGCUGCAACAUGUACCCCGAGGUCGAGGCCGCCGGCGCCACCCUCCUCGUCGCCGCCACCGCCACCCACAAGGCGUACGUCCCUUCUCCUUCCUCAUAUAUCAUGCACUCGAUCGUAACAAUAUGACUGUAUGUUGAUCUUGGUAUGGGUGGGGUACGUGCAGGAGCUCCGGCGGCAUGGAGAUGGCGGCCGAGAACGGCGGCUGCGGCUGCACCCAGUGCAAGUGCGGCACCAGCUGCGGCUGCUCCUGCUGCAGCUGCUAGAUCAUCGGUCAUGCAUGCACCGCGUGCCUCAUAUCUAUGAUCUAUCUAUAUAUCCAUCUACCACCAUGUAACGCUACCUGAUCACGGUCUUUGUAUGUAUGUACGCACCUGCCUGCAUGAGCAGAGCAGGUGCCAUGCCAUGCAUGUAAACCCCUAAAUAAAAUCUCCCGUGGUUUAACCCCCUAUACAUGUGUUUGUGUUAUAGUCUUAUAGACCAACUUCUGGCCCAUGUUUACUAUGAACUUGCGACUUGCGAGGUGCCUGGGUUGUUAAUAGACCAGCUGGAUGCUCUCUUGAAGCAACGUAUGCACCGCUUGGAGUCGGUGUAUCUUUAUACACAUGUAUUUAUUUUACAGGUGUAUAUCAUCGGCCACACCUGGGAAAAAACGAUGGAUGGAGAAGUGUAAAUUUACAGGGGUAUUGCUCUGUGAAACGAGAAUCGAAUCAGGGCCUUAAGGGUAGGGAUGGCAAUGGGUAGGGUAUGGGCGCGUACGACUUUUUUCUGCCCAAACCCAUACCCAAAUCUUUUUUCUAUACCCAUCUAUUUCAAUAUCCAUGGACACAAAUUGGUACCCAUGCCCAUACCUAUCGGGUAUAUUAUACCCAAUGGAUAUCCAAUGGGUAUAGUAUCUAACAUUGGCAUGAUAAAGGUAAGCCAAGAAAAGGGCCUAAAACUAAAUUUAGGUACUCGGCCAUCACAAUCCGGUUUGCACUUACAUCAAAAUUUUACAAUGUGGAUUGACACACAAAUGUCUUAAUCUUCAUUACAAACUAACUUAAAAAAACAAGUUUCAAACUUGCAAUGCCAAUCACUGUAGGUAUUAUAGGGUUUAAUUUAUUUAUUAAUUUUUCUGGGUAUCCAUUAGGAUACCCAUGGGUAUAAUUUCAUACCCAUACCCUACCCAUGCAUUUUGCGGGUAUGGACACCCAUUACCCAUGGGUAUGAAGUAGUAAAAAGUCUUAUCCAUGCCCACUGUUUUCGGGUAGGGUACCCGCGGGUACCCAUACCCAUGGGCAAAACUGCCAUCCCUACUUAAGGGCGUUUGAUACAUGCGAAUAUUACUGGCCAAAGUUGAGUAUGAGAUACAUACAAUACAAACUUGACACUUUUGAAAGUCGUGCUAUCAAUCAUGAGACGCAUAGUUUAGCCAAAUUCUCGCUUAAUCUUUGUCAAAGGGUGUCACAUCUGGUUUGGCCAACCCCAUGAUCCGAUAUGUAUCCUACUCUCUGUGGUUUUCGAUGAAUAAAAUUUGGUUAAACCCUAAAAAAACUUAUUUGACGCGCCUUAGUUUUUUUCGAGAAUUUUUUUUAAAUCCGUUCAUCAAUCAUGGCAGUACAAAAAUCACAACCAGGUCCAUGAACCACCUAGCGACGACUACACUCACUGGAGCGAGCUAAACGUGCGCCGCCAUUAUCGCCCCUCCCUUACCGGAGUCGGACAAACCUUAUUGUAGUAGACAGUUGGAAAGUUAUCGUGCUAAGACCCUCAAGGACCACCGCACUGCAUAGCAACCAUCGUCGAUGAAAAGAGUUGUAGAUUGGAAAGAUCAAAGCUAUAACCACACAAGCGAAGACGAACAAAAAUGGAUCCAAUAGAUCCACCAAAGUCCAGCACGACAGAAUCCUGUGAGAUCCGGCGGGGACACACCUCCACAUGUCCUCCUCCGAUGUUAUUCGCACCACCGGGACGAGGAUCGGAUGUGGGAGACAUUAUUCCUACCCAGGGACAUCACUACCGUCACACAGCCCCAACCAAGACGUUAAACCUAACAAAAACGAGAACGGGUCCCUCCCGCUGCCGGGGGGCCAAGAUCCUCCGCACUCCGGGGAAUCGGCGCCGGCGGCAACGGGAUGAGAAAGGAAACUUUUCUUGAGAAGGAGGAAAGACAGACACAUACUGUUGUGUCUAAAUUACCGUGUCUUAGUUUGAUGUACUAUUUGCACCAGCUACUUCAUAACUAGAUUGCCAUGGUUGACGAUGGGUGUGUUCCCCUCUACUAAUAGUGCGGCAGUGCCCUAGCGGCGACAACUAUAUCAUGAACAAUUAAAACUUCACGAAAUUGGUGGCCUGGUGACUUAUGCCUGUGCCUAUAUCGCACGCUCUUUUGUGAUGACAAAGAAACAGAUUAUCAUUUUCGGAGGUUAAAUGGAAACAGAUGGAGUGAACCACAUGUAUGUUGUACCAGCAAAACAAUAUUUAAAUCGAUUCGUUGAUGAUUUCCUUGAUAUAAAAUUUGAGGUGUGCUCUACAACACCCCACCCUACCCCCGGAGCUCCUAUUUGGCACGCUAAGCGCUAGCGGUCGAGCCCGUGCGCGUCCCCUUCCCUUGCACACCCAUUUGGGUCGGCCCAUGCGCGGGGCGGGACACGCCGUUUUUAUUUUUUAUUUUUCUUUUAUUUAUUUUUUAAAUAAUUCAGGAUUUCAAAAAGUUUCAAAUUUAAAAAAAAUGUCAACUUUGAAAAAACAAAGAAAUCAUAAAAUGUUCAUGGAUUCAAAAAAUAUCUUGAAUUUGAAAGACAUGUCCGGACAUUCCCAAAAUGUUCAUAAAUUUGAACAAAAUGUUCACAAAUUAAAAAACAUGUUCAGAAAACUAAAUAAAUGAUUCUCAAUUACGAAAAUAUUGAAAAAUCAAAAAAUGUUCGUUGAUUCAAAAAAUGUUAAUUAAUUUCGAAAAAUAUUUGUCAAACAAAUAGUAUUCAUGAAUGUCAAAAAUUGUUCCCAGAUUUCAAAAACUAUUUCUUGUCAAAAAUUAUUCAGCAAUUCAAAUGUCCAUGAGUUUUAAAACAAUGUUUACAAUUUUAAAAAAUUCUUAGAUAUAAAAAAAUGUUUGUGAAUUCAAAAAAUAUUCAAGAUUAAAUUAAAUUCAUGAAUUUUUAAACAUGUUCAUGAAUUUGAAAAAUAAUCACAACAAAACAAUGUUCAUGCAAUUGGAAAAUGCUCACAAUUUAAAUAAUGUUAAAAAUCAUUAAAAAGUUCAUAAAUUUGAAAAUAAGUUCAAAAAAUGAAAGACUGAAAAAAGAAAAGAAAAACUGACAUCAAAAUAGGAAAAUAUAAAUAAGGUAAAAACGAAAACGAAAAAUAGAAAUGAAAUAAUGAAAAUGAAAAAACAAAAAUAACCCGAAAGGAAAAAACUGGUAUGGAAAGGUUCUAGAACGUUCCCAAAACCGAAAAGGAGGUACUUGGGCCGCCCCAAAAUGUGUACCUAGUGGGAGGGGCGUAUGCGCUAGGAUUAGCCCCCUAAAAAGCUUCACAACUUUUGAGCAGAUCAAUGGUCUAGAUUAAAACAUGUCCUUUACUUUAGAAGGGGUAAUAUAAAAAAUUCACAUUAUAAAAACACUUGCAAUAAAAAAGAUAACGGGCGCUCUAGAAACCCAUGGCGGCUAGUGCGACUUGUUUGGAGCUAUUCGUCUCCUUCCCAACCCUUAUCCACUACCCCGGUCGUCCAUGUAUCUGUCAAAAGUGUUAGAUGAAGGAAAUAUGCCCUAUAGGCAAUAAUAAAGUUAUUAUUUAUUUCCUUAUUUCAUGAUAAAUGUUUAUUAUUCAUGCUAGAUUUGUAUUAACCGGAAACAUAAUACAUGUGUGAAUACAUAGACAAACAUAGUGUCACUAGUAUGCCUCUACUUGACUAGCCCGUUAAUCAAAGAUGGUUAAGUUUCCUAACCAUAGACAUGAGUUGUCAUUUGAUUAACGAGAGCACAUCAUUAGGAGAAUGAUAUGAUUGACUUGACCCAUUCCGUUAGCUUAGCACUUGAUCGUUUAGUAUUCUGCUAUUGCUUUCUUCAUGACUUAUACAUGUUCCUAUGACUAUGAGAUUAUGCAACUCCCGUUUACCGGAGGAACACUUUGUGUGCUAUCAAACGUGACAACGUAACUGGGUGAUUAUAAAGGUGCUCUACAGGUGUCUCCGAAGGUACUUGUUGGGUUGGCGUAUUUCGAGAUUAGGAUUUGUCACUCCGAUUGCCGGAGAGGUAUCUCUGGCCCACUCGGUAAUACACAUCACUUAAGCCUUGCAAGCAUUGCAACUAAUGAGUUAGUUGCGGGAUGAUGUGUUAUGGAACGAGUAAAGAGACUUGCCGGUAACGAAAUUGAACUAGGUAUUGAGAUACGGACGAUCGAAUCUCGGGCAAGUAACAUACCGAUGGCAAAGGGAACAACGUAUGUUGUUAUGCGGUUUGACCGAUAAAGAUCUUCGUAGAAUAUGUAGGAGCCAAUAUGAGCAUCCAUGUUCCGCUAUUGGUUACUGACCGGAGACGUGUCUCGGUCAUGUCUACAUAGUUCUCGAACCCGUAGGGUCCGCACGCUUAAAGUUCGAUGACGGUUAUAUUAUGAGUUUAUGGUUUUUGAUGUACCGAAGGUAAUUCGGAGUCCUGGAUGUGAUCACGGACAAGACGAGGAGUCUCGAAAUGUUUGAUACGUAAAGAUCAAUAUAUUGGACGACUAUAUUUGGAUAUCGGAAUGGUUCCGGGUGAGAUCAGGAUAAUACCGGAGCACCGGGAGGUUAUUGGAACCCUCCCCCCCGGAGGUAUAUGGGCCUUAAUGGGCUUUAGUGGAAAGGAGGGAAAAGGAGCAAGGGAGGGGGCGCCCCCCCCCCCCCCAAGCCCAAUCCGAAUAGGGAAGGGGGCCACCCCCCUUUCCUUCCUCCCUCCUUCCUCUUCCUUCCCUCCCCCUCUCCAAAUAGGAAAAGGAGGAGUCCUACUCCCGAUGGGAGUAGGACUCCCCCCUUGGGCGCGCCUCCUCCCCUUGACCAGCCCUCUCCUCCCCUCCUUUAUAUACGGAGGAGAGGGGCACCCCAUAGACAGAACAAUUGAUCUCUUGGAUCUUUUAGCCGUGUGCGGUGCCCCUCUCCACCAUAGUCCACCUCGAUAAUAUCGUAGCGGUGCUUAGGCGAAGCCCUGCGACGGUAGAACAACAUCGUCACCACGCCCUCGUGCUGAUAGAACUCUCCCUCACAGCUCGGCUGGAUAGGAGUUCGAGGGAUGAAACCGAGUUGAACGUGUGCAGAACUCGGAGGUGCCGUGCGUUCGGUACUUGAUCGGUCGGAUCGUGAAGACAUACGACUACAUCAACCGCGUUGUGCUAAUGCUUCCGCUUUCGGUCUACAAGGGUACGCGGACACACUCUCCCCUCUCGUUGCUAUGCAUCACCAUGAUCUUGCAUGUGCGUAGGAAAUUUUUUGAAAUUACUACGUUACCCAACAGUGGUAUCAGAGCCAGGUUUUAUGCGUUGAUGUUAUAUGCACGAGUAGAAAACAAGUGAGUUGUGGGCGAUACAAGUCAUACUGCUUACCAGCAUGUCAUACUUUGGUUCGGCGGUAUUGUUGGAUGAAGCGGCCCGGACCGACAUUACGCGUACGCUUACGCGAGACUGGUUCUACCGACGUGCUUUGCACACAAGUGGCUGGCGGGUGUCAGUUUCUUCAACUUUAGUUGAACCGAGUGUGGCUACGCCCGGUCCUUGAGAAGGUUAAAACAGCACUAACCUGACGAACUAUCGUUGUGGUUUUGAUGCGUAGGUAAGAACGGUUCUUGCUCAGCCCGUAGCAGCCACGUAAAACUUGCAACAACAAAGUAGAGAACGUCUAACUUGUUUUUGCAGGGCAUGUUGUGAUGUGAUAUGGUCAAGACAUGAUGCUAUAUUUUAUUAUAUGAGAUGAUCAUGUUUUGUAAUCGAGUUAUCGGCAACUGGCAAGAGCCAUAUGGUUAUCGCUUUAUUGUAUGCAAUGCAAUCGCCCUGUAAUUGCUCUACUUUAUCACUAGGCGGUAGCGAUAGUCAUAGAAGCAAUAGUUGGCGAGACGACAAUGAUGCUACGAUGGAGAUCAAGGUGUCGCACUGGUGACGAUGGUGAUCAUGACGGUGCUUCGGAGAUUGAGAUCACAAGCACAAGAUGAUGAUGGCCAUAUCAUAUCACUUAUAUUGAUUGCAUGUGAUGUUUAUCUUUUAUGCAUCUUAUUUUGCUUUGAUUGACGGUAGCAUUAUAAGAUGAUCUCUCACUAAAUUUCAAGAUAAAAGUAUUCUCCCUGAGUAUGCACCGUUGCCAAAGUUCGUCGUGCCCAGACACCAUGUGAUGAUCGGGUAUGAUAAGCUCUAUGUCCAUCUACAACGGGUGCAAGCCAGUUUUGCACACGCAGAAUACUCAGGUUAAACUUGACGAGCCUAGCAUAUGCAGAUAUGGCCUUGGAACACCGAGACCGAAAAGUCGAGCUUGAAUCAUAUAGUACAUAUGAUCAACAUAAUGAUGUUCACCAUUGAAAACUACUCCAUUUCACGUGAUGAUCAGUUAUGGUUUAGUUGAUUUGGAUCACAUGAUCACUUAGAUGAUUAGAGAGAUGUCUAUCUAAGUGGGAGUUCUUAAAGUAAUAUGGUUAAUUGGACUUUAAUUUAUCUUGAACUUAGUCCUGGUAGUAUUAGCAUAUCUAUGUUGUAUAUCAAUAGCUCGCGUUUAGCUCCCCUGUUUUAUUUUUGAUAUGUUCCUAGAGAAAACUAAGUUGAAAGAUGUUAAUAGCAAUGAUGCGGAUUGGAUCCGUGAUCUGAGGAUUAUCCUCACUGUUGCACAGAAAUAUUAUGUCCUUGAUGCACCGCUAGGUCACAGACCUAUUGCAGGAGCAGAUGCUGACGUUAUGAACAUUUUGACAAAAGCUCGGUAUGAUGACUACUUGAUAGUUUAGUGCACCAUGCUUUACGACUUAGAACCGGGACUUCAAAAAUGUUUUGAACGCCACGGAGCAUAUAAGAUAUUCCAAGAAUUGAAAUUGGUAUUUCAUACUCAUGCCAGUGUCGAGAGGUAUGAGACCUCUGACAUUACUUUGCCUACAAGAUGGAGGAGAAUAGCUCAACCAGUAAGCAUGUGCUCAGAUUGUCUGAGUACUACAAUCACUUGAAUCAAGUGGGAGUUAAUCUUCUAGAUAAUAUAGUGAUUGACAGAGUUCUCUAGUCACUAUCACCAAGUUGUUAGAACUUCAUGAUGAACUAUAAUAUGCAAGGGAUAACGGAAACGAUUCCCAAGCUCUUCAUGAUGCUGAAAUCGACGAAGGUAAAAAUCAAGAAAAGCAUCAAGUGUUGAUGGUUAACAAGACCACUAUUUUCAAGAAAAGGGCAAAUGGAAUAAGGGGAAUUUCAAGAAGAACGGCAAGCAAGUUGCUGCUCAAGUGAAGAAGCCCAAAUCUAGACCUAAGCCUGAGACUAAGUGCUUUUACUGCAAAGGGACUAGUCACUGGAAGUGGAACUGCCCCAAGUAUUUGGCAGAUAAGAAGGAUGGCAAAGUGAACAAAGGUAUAUUGGAUAUACAUGUUAUUGAUGUGUACUUUACUAGUGUUUAUAGCAACCCCUCAGUAUUUGAUACUAGUUCAGUUGCUAAGAGUAGUAACUUGAAAUGGUAGUUGGACAAUGAACAGAGACUAGUUAAGGGUGGAGCAACGAUGUGUGUUGGAAGUAGUUCCAAGAAUGAUAUGAUCGUCAUCGCACACUCCCUAUACUUUCAGGAUUAGUGUUGAACCUAAAUAAGUGUUAUUUGGUGUUUUCGUUGAGCAUGAAUAUGAUUUGAUCAUGUUUAUUGCAAUACGGUUAUUCAUUUAAGUUAGAGAAUAAUUGUUAUUCUGUUUACAUGAAUAAAACCUUCUAUGGUUAUACACCCAAUGAAAAUGGUUUGUUGAAUCUUGAUUGUAGUGAUACACAUAUUCAUAAUAUUGAAGCCAAAAGAUGCAAAGUUAAUAAUGAUAGUGCAACUUAUUUGUGGCACUGUCGUUUAGGUCAUAUUGGUGUAAAGCGCAUGAAGAAAAUCCAUGCUGAUGGGCUUUUGGAAUCACUUGAAUAUAAAUCAGUUGAUGCUUGCGAACCAUGCCUCAAGGGUAAAGAGGACUAAGACUCCGUUCUCCAGAACAAUGGAGCGAGGAACUGACUUAUUGGAUAUAAUACAUACUGAUGUAUGAGGUCCGAUGAGUGUUGAGGCUCGCGGCGGGUAUCGUUAUUUUCUGACCUUCACAGAUAAUUUGAGCAGAUAUGGGUAUAUCUACUUGAAGAAACAUAAGUCCGAAACAUUUGAAAAGUUUAAAGAAUUUCAGAGUGAAGUGGAAAAUCAUCGUAACAAGAAAAUAAAGUUUCUACGAUCUGAUCGUAGAGGCAAAUAUUUGAGUUACGAGUUUGGUCUUCAAUUAAAACAAUAUGGAAUAGUUUCACAAACUCAUGCCACCUGGAACACCAUAGCGUAAUGGUGUGUCCGAAAGUCAUAACUGUGCUUUAUUUGAUAUAGUGCAAUCUAUGAUGUCUCAUACCGAUUUACCACUAUCAUUUUGGGGUUAUGCAUUAGAGAUAGCUGCAUUCACAUUAAAAAGGGCACCAUCUAAAUCUGUUGAGAUAACACCGUAUGAACUGUGGUUUAGCAAGAAACCUAAGGUGUCGUUUCUUAAAGUUUGGGGUUGCGAUGCUUAUGUGAAAAAGGUUUAUCUUGAUAAGCUCAAACCCAAAUCGAAGAAGUGCGUCUUCAUAGGAUACCCAAAAGUAACUGUUGGGUACACCUUCUAUCACAGAUCCGAAGGCAAGAUAUUUGCUGCUGAGAAUAGAUCCUUUCUAGAGAAGGAGUUUCUCUCGAAAGAAGUGAGUGGGAGGAAAGUAGAACUUGAUGAGGUAACUGUACCUGCUCCCUUAUUGGAAAGUAGUUCAUCACAGAAAUCUGUUUCUGUGACUCCUACACCAAUUAGUGAGGAAACUAAUGAUGAUGAUCAUGUAACUUCAGAUCAAGUUAUUACCAAACCUCUUAGGUCAACCAGAGUGAGAUCCGCACCAGAGUGGUACGGUAAUCCUGUUCUGGAGGUCACGUUAAUUGACCAUGACGAACCUACGAACUAUGAGGAAGCGAUGAUGAGCCCAGAUUCCGCGAAAUGGCUUGAGGCAUGAAAUCUAAUAUGGGAUCCAUGUAUGAGAACAAAGUGUGGACUUUGGUUAACUUGCCCGAUGAUCGGCAAGCCAUAGAAAAUAAAUGGAUCUUCAAGAGGAAGACGGACAGUGAUAGUAGUGUUGCUAUCUACAAAGCUCGAAUUGUCGCAAAAUGUUUUCGACAAGUUCAAGGUGUUGACUACGAUGAGAUUUUCUCACUCGUAUCGAUGCUUAAGUCCGUCCGAAUCAUGUUAGCAAUUGCCGCAUUUUAUGAUUAUGAAAUUUGGCAAAUGGAUGUAAAGACUGCAUUCCUGAAUGGAUUUCUGGAAGAAGAGUUGUAUAUGAUGCAACCUGAAGGUUUUGUCGAUCCUAAAGGUGCUAACAAAGUGAGCAACCUCCAGCGAUCCAUCAAUGGACUGGUGCAAGCUUCUCGAAGUUGGAAUAAACGUUUUGAUAGUGUGAUCAAAGCAUAUGGUUUUAUACAGACUUGCGGUGAAGCCUGUAUUUACAAGAAAGUGAGUGGGAGCACUACAACAUUUCUAAUAAGAAGUGUGAAUGACAUAUUGUUGAUCGGAAAUAAUGUAGAAUUUUCUGGAAAGCAUAAAGAAGUAUUUGAAAUGAGUUUCUCAAAUAAAGACCUCGAUGAAGCUACUUACAUAUUGAGCAUCAAGAUCUAUAGAGAUAGAUCAAGACGCUUGAUAAGUUUUUUCAAUGAGUGCAUACCUUGACAAGAUUUUGAAGUAGUUCAAAAUGGAACAGUCAAAGAAAGAGAUCUUACCUGUGUUACAAGGUGUGAAAUUGAGUAAGACUCAAAGCCCGACCACGGCAGAAGAUAGAAAGAGAAUGAAAGUCAUUCCCUAUGCCUCAACCAUAGUUUCUAUAAAGUAUGCCAUGCUGUGUACCAGAUCUAUUGUAUACCCUACACUGAGUUUAGCAAUGGAAUACAAUAGUGAUCUAGGAGUAGAUCACUGGAUAGCGGUCAAAAUUAUCCUUAGUGGAAUAAGGAAAUAUUUCUCGACUAUGGAGGUGAUAAAAGAGUUCGUCGUAAAGAGUUACGUCGAUGCAAGCUUUUUACAUCGAUCUAGAUGACUCUAAGUCUCGAUCUGGAUACAUAUUAAAAGUGGGAGCAAUUAGCUAGAGUAGCUCCAUGCAAAGCAUUGUUGACACAGAAAUUUUCAAAAUACAUAUGGAUCUGAAUGUGGCAGACCCGUAGACUAAACUUCUCUCACAAGUAAAACAUGAUCACACCUUAGUACUCUUUGGGUGUUAAUCGCAUAGCGAUGUGAACUAGAUUAUUGACUCUAGUAAACCCUUUGGGUGUUGAUCACAUGACGAUGUGAACUAUGGGUGUUAAUCACAUGGUGAUGUGAACUAUUGGUGUUAAAUCACAUGGCGAUGUGAACUAGAUUAUUGACUCUAGUGCAAGUGGGAGACUGAAGGAAAUAUGCCCUAGAGCCAAUAAUAAAGUUAUUAUUUAUUUCCUUAUUUCAUGAUAAAUGUUUAUUAUUCAUGCUAGAUUUGUAUUAACCGGAAACAUAAUACAUGUGUGAAUACAUAGACAAACAUAGUGUCACUAGUAUGCCUCUACUUGACUAGCUCGCUAAUCAAAGAUGGUUAAGUUUCCUAACCAUAGACAUGAGUUGUCAUUUGAUUAACGGGAUCACAUCAUUAGGAGAAUGAUAUGAUUGACUUGACCCAUUCCGUUAGCUUAGCACUUGAUCGUUUAGUAUUCUGCUAUUGCUUUCUUCAUGACUUAUACAUGUUCCUAUGACUAUGAGAUUAUGCAACUCCCGUUUACCAGAGGAACACUUUGUGUGCUACCAAACGUCACAACGUAACAGGGUGAUUAUAAAGGUGCUCUACAGGUGUCUCCGAAGUUACUUGUUGGGUUGGCGUAUUUCGAGAUUAGGAUUUGUCACUCCGAUUGUCGGAGAGGUAUCUCUGGCCCCUCGGUAAUACACAUCACUUAAGCCUUGCAAGCAUUGCAACUAAUGAGUUAGUUGCGGGAUAAUGUGUUAUGGAACGAGUAAAGAGACUUGCCAGUAACGAGAUUGAACUAGGUAUUGAGAUACCGACGAUCGAAUCUCGGGCAAGUAACAUACCGAUGGCAAAGGGAACAACGUAUGUUGUUAUGCGGUUUGACCGAUAAAGAUCUUCGUAGAAUAUGUAGGAGCUAAUAUGAGCAUCCAUGUUCCGCUAUUGGUUAUUGAACGGAGACGUGUCUCAGUCAUGUCUACAUAGUUCUCGAACCCGUAGGGUCCGCACGCUUAAAGUUCGAUGACGGCUAUAUUUUGAGUUUAUGGUUUUUGAUGAACCGAAGGUAAUUCAGAGUCCUGGAUGUGAUCACGGACAAGACGAGGAGUCUCGAAAUGUUCGAGACGUAAAGAUCGAUAUAUUGGACGACUAUAUUUGGAUACCAGAAUGGUUCCGGGUGAGAUCGGGAUAAUACCGGAGCACCGGGAGGUUAUCGGACCCCCCCGGAGGUAUAUGGGCCUUAAUGGGCUUUAGUGGAAAGGAGGUAAAAGGAGAAAGGGAGGGGGCGCCCCCCCCCCCCCAAGCCCAACCCGAACUGGGAAGCCCCCCCCCUUUCCUUCCUCCCUCCUUCCUCUUCCUUCCCUCUCCCUCUCCAAAUAGGAAAAGGAGGAGUCCUACUCCCGGUGGGAGUAGGACUCCCCCCUUGGGCGCACCUCCUCCCCUUGGCCGGCCCUCUCCUCCCCUCCUUUAUAUACGGAGGAGAGGGGCACCCCAUAGACACAACAAUUUAUCUCUUGGAUCUUUUUGCUGUGUGCGGUGCCCCUCUCCACCAUAGUCCACCUCGAUAAUAUUGUAGCGGUACUUAGGCGAAGCCCUGUGACGGUAGAACAUCAACAUCGUCACCACGCCGUUGUGCUGAAGGAACUCUCCCUCAAAGCUCGGCUGGAUCGGAGUUUGAGGGACGUCAUCGAGUUGAACGUGUGCAGAACUCAGAGGUGCCGUGCGUUCGGUACUUGAUCGGUCGGAUCGUGAAGACAUACGACUACAUCAACCGCAUUGUGCUAAUGCUUUCGCUUGCGGUCUACAAGGGUACACGGACACACUCUCCCCUCUCGUUGUUAUGCAUCACCAUGAUCUUGCGUGUGCGUAGGAUUUCUUUUUAAAUUACUAUGUUACCCAACAUUAGACUCCUCCACUUUAUCUUACUCCUCACAUUCCCAUCAUCCGACAUAGUAUGACGACAUCUCAGCCCCUUGUAUUCACAUCACACGGUGUUCAAAUCGCACGAGCCACGAGGCCUUGUUUUUUAAACAGAAGUGGUGUACCCAAGCACCCCUAAUGAAAUUGGCGUUCCCUUGAUCCAAAGAAAAAAAGAGUAAAAAGAAACCAAACACUCCCCCCCCCACAUACACCUCCAGCGUUCCUAUGCACCGAAUUGUACACAACCAAUAGUUUCUACAUUGCUACACAUGAAUGAUGCUUACAGUUGAAAUAAAAGGCAACUCAUUGUCGCUUACAACUAAAUAGCAAAAGGAUACUAGGAGUAGAGUUUGACAUAGGCUAGAGUAAGUGCAUUAUAUAUCCUUAUUUCUGUUUCGCAAUUUUUUUUCCUUAUUUCUAGUGUGUGAUUGCCACCCAAGAUUGCAAUAGAACACCAGGUCAACUGACAAUCCAAUCCCUGGUGUUCUAUUAUAUGUCGAGUUAAAUACUAAAAAGUGCUACUAGGAGUAGAGUAUGAGAUGAACGAGAGUAAGUGCAUUAUGUAUAUCCUCAAUUAUAGUGUGCGGUCACCACCCAAGAUUGCAACAGAACACCAAUUUGGCUGACGAAACCAAUCUAGUCCAAUCGCUUAUUGAACUAAAAGUCGGUAUAUGUACUUAGGAGUUGCCUAACUAAAGCAUGCGGUUCAACUUGAUAGAUCUAGUAAGAUUCAACUCGAUAAUCGUUUAAUUCCUAAUGGUUUCUAUAAAAAAUAGUUACAAUAACUAACUCAAACGAAAUAUAAGCGAACAAUCAAACAUCGACCGGCUCACAUGGCUUCCAAAUAAAACUAAUUAACAGAUCGAGUAAUACAUUGUUUAUUCCUUGCUCUUAAUAUGAGGUUAUACAUAACAUAUUUUGGUCCAUCCUGAAGUAAGUAUUACGUAACAAGUACUAGCUAGUAUUUCAGUCUCUACUAGCAAAUGUUGCAAUAGCAAACAGCCUUGAUGGCGUUCUUCUUAUCACAGUGGUAGUCCUUGAGGCUGCCCUUCCUAUCACGUGCAAACACGUCACACGUGGCCUUGCAUAGAGGCUUGGUGCAGAAAAACUCCCCGCCGUCGUCAACGACCGCGAAAUUGUGCUGCACAACACCAAGAAAACACAAACCAUUAUAUUAGAAUAUUAGCGACAAACCCCCAUUAGAUUAGAUUAUACGUAUUUGACAAACACAAUUAAACACACCUGCAGAAAUAGGAGUACCCACAAGUGUUAGCACCACGAGGAAGCAAACAAUAGCAGCCCGUGUGUCCAUCCCAAGAGUUCUCUCCUUUUUUGAACUAGAAGGAAAAAUAUGUGUUCUCUUCGUCUAUUUUAAUUUGGCUAUGGGACUAAUGUUUAUGUCUUGAAGUGCUUGGAGUGUUGUCUUAUAUAGACUUAUUGAAAGGGACAAAAAUAAAAGCAUUUAAAUGAUUGUUAAACUUAGCAAAAGAGAUAGAGGUGAGUCACACCCCAAAAAUGGAAGCACUUAAUGCUGGGUGAGAAAUUAAAUGACGAAGGCAAAGAAUAUAUGAGUGAUGUUUAUCCAAUAAUCAAGGCUUUAAUUUUCGACUACAAAAUAAGCAUGACCAUUCAAAAAAUGGAGUCAUCUUUUUGUCGCUGGUGACAUUGAUCAAACAUGGUUUUUUAUAAAAAAAAAUGUAUAGCCACUUUAAUUGCAAACACCAUUGUGCAUUGAAAUUCAGUUGACUUCAACAAAACAAUCAAUAUGAAUUGCAUGCUUGAUAUGUAACCAACUAAAACUAAAAUUGUAUGUUGUCUCGAGUUGACUAAAUCACCAUUUUUGGCUAGACAAUGUUUAAAACUGUGUCAACUGUGUCAAUUUGCACGGCGCCUGGGACAAUGCAAUGUCAAAUCUUGCACUAUUUUAAACCACCACAAGAUAAGCAAGCUGAGUUGGCCCGGGCCUCUUGCCAGACGCUGGCAUCCACCUCGAAAUCUAUAUCAAUAUAUUUUUUGUAUCACAUGAAUCAUAUAGUAUUGGUCUAAAAUAUAUUUUCUCUUGUUGCAAAAUAUGAAAGAAAAAUCGGCACAACAAUAUUAUAUAGACCCAUCGCAACAAUAGCAUGCUUCACAGUCGGUGGGUCCCAUGUAAAGACAUUUGGAAAUACCUCAAAAAUGCAUAUGUGUACUAUUUAUUAUUGUCCAAGAAUUUCACAUGCUCACUCACAACAAACUGUUGAAGAAUUCCGUGCAACUUAGAAACUAACGUAUGCAACAACGCGAGCACAACAUUUGUGUUAGGACUAACAAAAUUACAUUACAUUGUAGCAUGUCACACAUGUGUAUGUAGUAUGACGCAAAUGAGUUCACAGCAUACCAAAACAACGAAUGGUAACUACAAAAAAUUCCCAUAAAUCUAACAUUUUACAACCAAAAAAUUUGGUGGGCACUGACCUCACCUCAUCAAACUUGCUCUAAUAUUCUAGUUAGUGUAGAGUUUUGGAUUAAGCUAAAGUUGCUCUAGUAUUAUGCCACAACAAAAAGGAAAGAAAUGGGGGAAAACAAAGAAGAGCGGAGCAGGGUGGCUUACUCGGAUCUAAGUCGGCCAAUAUCAAUCGCAUUGCCCUCCUAAAUCCUGAUUACUCAAGCCAGCCCAAAAUUGAGGGGCUACUAAAAUAGAAGUUGAGCCUAUGGUGCAAGAACAGAAAAGCCAUUGGAUUGGAUAUGGAUAGCACAUGAUCUGGUGGAGCGAUCUCAGGCCACUUUUUGUAUAUUUUAUGAAAAAACCCUAUUAACAGUUAGGUACAAAACAAAACAUUCGCAGUGACCACCUUAAGUAUCUCAUCUCCCAAUCCAAUAGUGGAGUUAACGACCAUUUACAGAUUUCAGGUUUUUUCCAGCGACCAUUUAUAGAAUUUGCACAACCUCAUAUCCUAUCAGUUUUAUAAAAUAUAUUUUCACAUACCGAGCACAAAUAUAUGGUUGUAAGAAUGAAGAACUCAUACUCAUGCUUGUUUUAAUUCUAGUAUUUACACCCCUAAGGUUGUUAAGGUCCGGUUACAAAAACUCGAAUUUAAUUCUCUUAUAAGAACUUGUUAGAGUCCUGUCAUAGUGCACAUCCUCUCGUGGAUUCGAUAACUCAAGGUUGCUCCUUCGGGAAAAGGGAGGGAAACCUUUGUUGUCCAAACCGGAUCUCAAAGAGCACCACCCAUCUCUCACCCUACUCGAUGAUACAACAUCGACGACCAGGUACGUGUGUAACCAACCGUCUGCUCCCUCGCUCUGUCACUGUGGUGCUAUUCAUUACAUCAAGUCGGGACCCAUUUCCUUCCUUUUGAGGUUAACAAUUAAGGUUUCUAGUCUAUAUGAGGGCCUUCGGAUUCAACUUAUAAGAAUGUUAGUUCAAAUUUAAUGAUGAUUAUUUCAAGUGGAUGGUUAUGUGAACUAGGUUGGUAGAGUGGUGGCCGACCACUGUUGCGGCGGACUUCAGGGAUGUUUGAUCUAUCCACCUGGCUUGAUCAAGCAGCGUCGACAUUUGUGCAUCAUUAUUUUGUUGAAUAUGUUCGUUCGAUUUGCUUGUUGCAGGGGUGAUAGCCUCUGGUCCGACGUUUGGUUACACGAGACAAUAAGCUCCCCUUGCAAAAGUGUAUGAUGUGGGAAUUACGUGUUGUACUCCUCAGGUGCAAACGCACGUAUAUAUGAUGUACAGGAGUAGGCCACGACCUCAAUUAUACAAGGCAACUAGGAGGUGGGCCCAAUACACAAAUAUGCACAACAAAGACUGGACCGGAACUCCUCAAAAUGAUGCCGUAGGCAAGUCCUUGGUCAUGGUAUAUGCAAAUUGUUGGGAAGUAGGGACGUGUAAAACACGAAUAUGGCCAAGGGCCACCUAUUCCCGAACAAAAUGAAUAUCCAACUCAAUAUGCUUGGUCCGUCGAUGAUGCACCGGGUUAGCGGAGAGGUAGACUGCCGAGACGUUGUCGCAAUAGACCACCGUGGCACGGUCAACAGGGAAAGAGAGCUCCUGAAGCAGCUGGCGAAGCCACGAACACUCGGCGACGGUGUUGGCCACCGCAGGAUACUCAGCCUCAGCGUUGGAACGAGAGACCGUAGGCUGCCGCGUGGAUGACCACGAGAUAAGUGAGGGUCCAAGGUAGACACAAUAGCCCGAGGUGGAGCGACGAGUUUUAGGGCAGCCCGCCCAGUCUGCAUUGAAGUAGGCGGCGAGGGCAGUGUCGGCGGAGGCAUGAAGCGUGACACCAAGAUCCAUAGUGCCACAGACAUAGCGGAGAAUCCGUUUGACAACGGCCCAGUGCAUCUCGAGGAGCAUGCAUAUGAAGACACACCUGCUGCACGACAUACUGGAUCUCUGGUUGAGUUAAAGUGAGGUACUGAAGAGCACCAACAAUAGACCGAUAAAAAGCAGCAUCCGAAGCAGGAGAACCAUCCGUGGCAGAAAGCUUGGCCUUUGUAUAAACAGGCGUAGCAGCGGGCUUGUAGUUAAGCAUGUUGGCCCGCUCCAGGAGCUCAUGAGCAUACUUCCGCUGAUGAAAGAAGAAGCCAUCCGGACGGCACACCACCUCGACACCGAGGAAGUUGUGCAAAGGACCCAAGUCCUUGAUGGCAAACUCAGCGCGAAGACGAGCCAUGAGCUGACCGAGGAGACCAACCAUACAUGCCGUCAGGAUGACGUCGUCGACAUAGAGCAGAAAGUAGGCCGUGUUAGAGCCCUGAUGAUAGACGAAGAGCGAGGCGUCCGAGCGGGUGGAGCGGAACCCAAGCUGGUGGAGAAACGCUGCGAUGCGCUGGUACCAAGCACGCAGAGCCUUCUUAAGUUCAUACAAGGACCGCGAAAGCAGGCACACGUGGUCGGGAAGCGCCGGGUCAACAAACCCGGUGUGCUGCUGGCAGAAGACCUGCUACUCCAGGUGACCAUGGAGCAAGGCGUUGGAGACGUCCAUCUGGUGCACCGGCCAAGCACGGGAGACUGCAAGGUGGAGAACCGUGUGUAUCGUGUCGGGCUUGACGACCAGAGCGAAGGUGUCGAUGAAGUCGAUGCCAGCACGCUGUCGGAAGCCACGAACGACCCAACGCGGUUUGUAGCGAUCAAAGGUACCAUCGGGACGGAGGUUGUGUUUGAAGACCCACUUCCCGGUAAUCACGUUGGCGUGCUGAGGACAGGAAACAAACAUAGAAGAUUUGACUUUAGAAAAAAAAUAGUACAACUUAUCUAUACCUAAUAUUAAAGGACGGAGAUUUUUAUAGUUCUCCAUACAUCUAACUUUAUUAAUAGUCUUCAUCGGCCCACCGGAGCAAGACAAUAAGUAGGCCUGGAAACACUCGAUUCAAUGGGCCUGAAAAAUAAACGGGCAUGCAUCCUCUCUCGCUCAUCUCUCUCCUCUCGAACCCCUCAUAAAAAAUUUCUCUCCUCUCGAUCCCUUCGCUCUCUACUACGAGCGCUCCUGGGGCAGACAUGUUCUCCCUUCUCUCUACCGCUGCGGAUGGCCCAACUUGACUCCGAGACGAACUCUGCUCGAGCACGCACCCAUAGGGUGUCCCGACAGGUUCUUUGCGGUUCCGCAGGCUGGUCUAGGAACAUAUAGAAACAAAUUGACGCCAUCAAACGAAGCCCCAGCUCAAUUGCCUGGUUGCGGAGUGCGGCGGCAUGUCGAGCCGAACGCCGGCAAGAUCAUACAGGAUGAGGCAGUAGAUGCCAACGAUAGUGUGCGUCACCCAACUCGACGCAGGCGAGGAAGAUGAGCAGGACGGCGUUGGAGCUCAGCAGGGCGCCGACGAGAACGUACGGGAAGAGGCGGUAGACGCCGAUGGCGGUGUAGGUAACCCACCCAGCUCGACGAAGGUGAGGAAGAUGAGUAGGACGGGGGGUAGCCGGGGAUUUGAAGAGGACUCGGAAGGGCUACACGAGCAUGACCAGGUCGUCACUGAAUCGGAUCCGUCACCUCAUGCGGCUGAGCUGUUAGAGGACGAUGCAGAGGCUCUGGUCAAAGGCGACCAUGAUGGAUGUGUCACCGCCGGCCACGCGAUAGAGGAAGAAGGUGAGGCUCAAGAGCCGGCCAGCCGAGUGGACGUGCCGGUGCAGUUGUGACCGCUCGGGAGGUUGAAGGCAAGCGAGGGAGCUCAUGCGGCGACGUCGGCAAGGCUCGGUGGCGAGAUAGCGCAGAAGAGCGGUGCAGCGGAGCGACAACCACGAUGCUAGGGCGUUGCGGAGAGAAAGGAUGAAGAGAGAUAGGGCAAGGGAGUCCUACUGCUGGUGGAGGCACGCAGGAGGAGCUCGAGCAUCAGUUGGCGGGCGAAGCAAGGAGUCGCAGGGCUUUCCAGCGACUAUGAUGGUGCGGGUUGAUCUGGGGAGGCUGGGAGAGCUGCCUCCUAGGGGCGCUGGUUCGGGUUGACGUGUGCGUCAUGUGCACUGCUACAAAAUUGCUGGAUAUGUGUAUCUAUAUGUGUGCGGCUGCGAUUUGAAAGUCGUAGCAAUGCACAGGCUUAUAAUUAAAUAAUUAUAUAUCUUUACUUGUUCAGUAGCAACACAUGCUAGCAAGCAGCAGAGACAGUAUACUAUGUUGGCGAUCAUUUGGCGAGCGAGCAGUUGAAUUGCUGCUGGCAUGCAUUGUGCAGGGGCAUGUUCGCUUGGGUCUUGGGACGAAAUCGACUGAGUCAAUAAAUAAUUUUUUAAAAGGAUAUUAGACCCUCGGCCUCUGCAUCAUUCAUUAUGAUGCACACAAAUAUUUUUAGCAAAGUUAGCCAUGGGUCGAACCAUUAGAUAUCAAAUAGACAUCUACAACUAAGUCGACUUCUGCUGCAACAUCUCUUCAAGAAGGGAUAAACUUUCUCGCCAUCGACCGAAACAAUCCGUAAGAAGAAGAAAAUGAUCACACAUGUGAAACAUAAUUGUCAAUACAAAUACAUGACACAUGGUGGUACGAACACACAUCACGAUGGAAGAAUACCAGCAACUUAAAAGCAAGCCUACAUCAAAUCUAUAUUUCAUUAGUAUUUAGUCCAUAUUUUUAUUUCUAUCAACCUAAACUCCAAUUACGUUAAAAUUUAGGUUUGAACUGCAGAUAUGAGAUUUCGAAUUUAAAGAUUGAACGUAUAUUUAAAGUUCUCAUAGUAUGUGUCUAUUUUUUGGGGUGUCUUUUUACUCGAUAGGAAUCCAAUUCAAUGCUCAAAAUCAAAUAACAAGAUUAUUGCUACAUAUUUUGAUAAAGCUAAAUUUUACUUGAAUUUUGGAUGUAGUUUAGACAAAUAAUUCUCACUAAAUCUUACUAUGGGCCAAUUUUUCUCUACCGUUGCAACACACCGGAUCGAGAGUUUCCAAGAAAACAUUGUCAGUCAGAUGCAUUUACUCCAGAUCAUAACUCAUGUCCUAAGCUUCACGUCGUGAUCCUCAAAUCAUGCAUCUUUUUAUUUUCUCAUCAUCAACCGUUGUGACAUGACACAGUUCCUCGACCUGGCCAACCAUGGUUCAUAGGAACUGGUAUAUUUCUCCCGCUGCAACGCACGGGCAUUCGUGCUAGUAUUUUGAAACGGGAGUUAGUAGGUACACCAAUAAUUCGAUAUACCCACAAAAUGCUGGCUCUAGUUCCUUUCAUGGCUCCUUUGAUGUAAGAAAGAUGCUAGUAGUGACUAGAGACAAAGGGAAUCAAAUUAUGGGAGGAGGCGGCCCUAUCUAUAUUCCUCUUCUCCAAGCGGUAGCUCCCGUCCAUCCUUUGCCAAAAGUGGAGCAUCUCUCAUUUCCUUCUUCAUCUUCUCCUCCUCCUCCUUUCUUGAUGCUCACUCGCCUAUAAAUAGCUCUCGCUGCCUGCCAUUGUUACUCAAGCUAGCAAGCAAGAAGCACAAAAGAAGCCAACACCAAUCAAGGCCUCCAUCCAAUCCCAAGCAACCUCGAAGAUGUCUUGCUGCGGAGGAAGCUGCGGCAGCGCCUGCAAGUGCGGCAACGGCUGCGGCGGCUGCAACAUGUACCCCGAGGUCGAGGCCGCCGGCGCCACCCUCCUCGUCGCCGCCACCGCCACCCACAAGGCGUACGUCCCUUCUCUUUCCUCAUACAUCAUGCGCCUCGCUGUAAUAUGACUAUAUAUGUUGAUCUUGCUAUGGGACUAAGGAUGGAUGGAUGGGUGCAGGAGCUCCGGCGGGAUGGAGAUGGCGGCGGAGAAUGGCGGCUGCGGCUGCACCCAGUGCAAGUGCGGCACCAGCUGCGGCUGCUCCUGCUGCAGCUGCUAGAUCAUUGAUCAUCGAUCAUGCAUGCACCGCGCGCAUGCAUCAUAUCUAUGAUCGAUCCAUCCAUCCAUCUAGUACCAUGUAACGCUACCUGAUCGAGGGUCUUUGUAUGUAUGUAAGCACCUGCCAGCAUGAGCAGAGCAGGUGCACUCCCAUGCAUGUAAACCGACCCCUAAAUAAAAUCUCCCGUGGUUUAACCUAUACAUGUGUUUGUGUUAUAGACCAGCUUCUGGCCCAUGUUUACUAUCAACUUGCGAGGUGCCUGGGUUGCUAAUAGACCAGCUGAAUGCUCUCUUAAAGCAACGUAUGCACCGCUUGGAAUCGGUGUAUCUUUCUUUAUACACAUGUAUUUAUUUUACAGGUGUAUAUCAUCGGCCACACCUGGGAAAAACGAUGGAUGGAGAAGGGUAAAUUUACAGGGGUAUUGCUCUGUGAAACGAGGGUCGAAUCAGGGUCGUAAGGGUGUUUGAUACGUGUGAAUAUUACUGGCCGAAGUUGAGUAUGAGAUACAUACAAUACAAACUUGACACUUUUGAAAGUCGUGCUAUCAAUCAUGAGACACAUAGUUUAGCCAAAUUCUCGCUUAAUCUUUGUCAAAGGGUGUCACGUACUCACGUCUGGUUUGGCCAACCCCAUGAUCCGAUAUGUAUCCCACUCUUUGUGGUUUUCGAUGAAUAAAAUUUGGUUAAACCCUAAAAAAAACUUAUUUUGC
rnacentral:lncRNA from 1 species